CACGCAGUAAACGAUGAUUACUAGUUGUUUGCGAUACACAGUAAGCGACUGAGCGAAAGCAUUAAGUAAUCCACCUGGGGAGUACGUUCGCAAGAAUGAAACUCAAAGGAAUUGACGGGGGCCCGCACAAGCGGAGGAACAUGUGGUUUAAUUCGAUGAUACGCGAGGAACCUUACCCGGGCUUGAAAUGCAUCUGACGUAGGCAGAGACGCCUAUUCUCUUCGGAGCAGAUGUGUAGGUGC
rnacentral:rRNA from 1 species